rnacentral:rRNA from 1 species
UACCCCCUACGGGACGCAGCAGUAGGGAAUCUUCCACAAUGGGCGAAAGCCUGAUGGAGCAACGCCGCGUGGGUGAAGAAGGUCUUCGGAUCGUAAAACCCUGUUGUUAGAGAAGAAAGUGCGUGAGAGUAACUGUUCACGUUUCGACGGUAUCUAACCAGAAGGCCACGGCUAACUACGUGCCAGCAGCCGCGGUAAUACGUAGGUGGCAAGCGUUAUCCGGAUUUAUUGGGCGUAAAGGGAACGCAGGCGGUCUUUUAAGUCUGAUGUGAAAGCCUUCGGCUUGACCGGAG